GGGGUUGCAGCUCAGUGGUAGAAUGCUUGCCUCGAAUGCAUGAGGCCCUGGGUUUGGUCCCCAGCACCACA
rnacentral:tRNA from 1 species